UGAAAUAAUCAUAUUAUGUUUCAUUCAUGGAAUGUGAAACACAGUAGAGAAAGGGAGAGACCUGAGGGGCGAGUGCUGGAACUUGGGUCAGGGGGAUAGUAGUUCUUCUGGUCUCCAAUGAGGUGGGAGGAGGAAGCAGAAGCCGCCAUAACAGGGACAGCCAAGUUGUGGGAGAGCAAAGCAGCUGCCAAAACCCACAUUACAGCUGAUGAAGAAGAACUCUGCUGCAUUUCUCUCAUGGUGAGUGUAUGGGGGUAGAAGUAUGAGGUGCAAUGAGUUUGAGUGAAGUGGUGGAAGGGAUCAGUGUUGGGUUUUAUAGAAGCGAAAGGGAAGGUGGUGAAGUGGAGGAACAAAAGUAAAUUUAUUCCAUUGAAGCAAAGGAUGGUGCUGAGUAUUUGGUUAGUUGGGGUGGCGUUGUGGAAGCAUUUAUGAUCCCUCCCAUUUCCCCUAUGGCAAUUGCUUCUCUUUUCCGAGAUUUGCGUCUAUCGUUUGCCAGCAGAGCUAACUCGCUGCUGGCAUUGCCCAUCCAUUAGCUCUAUUCAUGUAAUUUCUUAUUCUUCUAAUUUUCAGGUCUUUUAUGUCUAACCAGAUCUGAAGUCCAAGUACUCAUCUAAAGCUUUUGAAUGGACUUCUUAAGUCCUAAUUAAGACUAUGUUUCUUAGGGAUGUUUUGGACUGAACAUGCCAUUUUCUUGGAUAAUGGAAAGGCCGGUUGGUCAAAAAGCCAUGUUCUUGGACCGGUUGGUCAAAUGACGAUUCAACUUUUGUUUAAAAGCUUAACCUGUUCUUGAGAUGUUGGAUAUGUCUAUAACCAUUCCAUCGAUGGUCUUCUAUGUUUAACAUCUCUGUGGCAGGUUUUGAAUUCAAGGGUCUUCACAUUUUGACGGUAUUCGAAGUAUGGCUGGCCAUCAGUUCCUUGGGAUCAGUGCUGUUCUUAAUCUGAGAUCAGGUUUAGUUUGUCUUAUUUCUCUUUACUCUACACUUCCUUUGGCUUUAUCAAUCGGUGAUCUAUGAUUGUUAAUCGUGCUAAAUGCUACAUAUCUCGUUAUAAAUAGAUCUUGUUAGGUUUGCCUUCAAUGUUAGUACAAGGUUUGGUAAAGGAAGUAGGUUCCCAGGGAAUGAAAGAUUAACAACGACAUGCUUCACUUGAGAUCUGGCCCCAAAGCUUCAUCCACCAAUGUCCAUGGCAACGACCACACCCAACUUCCAUAAAAUGUUAGAUUUAGUUGGACCAACAUUUUUACCCUGAUUUACUUAUGCUGAACCAUAUGCCAUUUAUGCAGAAUUAAUCCAAACUUGAAAUAUUUGCUAAUAAAAACCAAUUGACUGAUCUUAAUUGCUCAAACCCUCUAGUAUCCGAUACUCUCUCUAUAAAUGUAAAGUCAGUAACUUUUUCUUCUUCUUCUUCGUUGUCUUCUAUCUGUCAAAAUUAGUCUUCAAAAUAGUAUCUUUUGUCAUUAACCCUAACAAAAAUAGGAAGAGGUUCCUUCCUAGAUGCCAAAUGUUUGUUCAAAUCGGAUGUGAGAACAAUCAACAGAGUCGAAGUAACCUAACACUAACUUUUUUUUUUACCUCAGAGUGGUAAAGACAUGAACAAGGGAAAUGACACCUAGCAUUGGAGAAUGGCCAGUUUGUACAAAGAACCCUAAUUUAGGGAGGCCAAGCUAGGUGGCUGGAUGGACCAACAUUGCAACUUUCCAAAGAGUUCAUAAUGACUGUGGCAGAGGAGUAGUUGUGGUAGGCACAUAACAUGCUGGGGA
rnacentral:lncRNA from 1 species